rnacentral:rRNA from 1 species
AACAAGGUUUCCGUAGGUGAACCUGCGGAAGGAUCAUUACCUAGAGUUGUAGGCUUUGCCUGCUAUCUCUUACCCAUGUCUUUUGAGUACCUUCGUUUCCUCGGCGGGUUCGCCCGCCGAUUGGACAAUUUAAACCAUUUGCAGUUGCAAUCAGCGUCUGAAAAAACAUAAUAGUUACAACUUUCAACAACGGAUCUCUUGGUUCUGGCAUCGAUGAAGAACGCAGCGAAAUGCGAUAAGUAGUGUGAAUUGCAGAAUUCAGUGAAUCAUCGAAUCUUUGAACGCACAUUGCGCCCCUUGGUAUUCCAUGGGGCAUGCCUGUUCGAGCGUCAUUUGUACCUUCAAGCUCUGCUUGGUGUUGGGUGUUUGUCUCGCCUCUGCGUGUAGACUCGCCUCAAAACAAUUGGCAGCCGGCGUAUUGAUUUCGGAGCGCAGUACAUCUCGCGCUUUGCACUCAGAACGACGACGUCCAAAAGUACAUUUUUACACUCUGACCU